AAGUUGCUAAAUCCCAAAUCAGUAAAAAACCACAAUCUCUCUCUCUUCUCUUCUUUCUCUCUCUCCCGCGCGCCCAAGUCGCCUCCUUUCGCUAGUCUUUCUCCGAUCGUCGUCUCACCUCUCUUUACUUCCGUCGUCCUCUGAAAUCUUACGCAUUCUCCGUCUUUGCUUUCGUUGCGCUGCCGGAGGAUAGAGAAUCCGUCCAGAUUUGCUGGACUGCUUCCGAUUCGCUUUCAUUGGCUCAUCAUCUCCGGUCCGAUCCGUGCGUAUUCUCUCCCGGCAUUGAUUUCUAUAAGCAUUUUAUCCUUUCACAGUGCUCGAUGAUACACGCGGAAUGUAUUUCUCAUUCGAAUUUCAAAAUCUUCCUAAUCGAUAAUCAGAUCUUCUAAUUGAAUGUUUUCUGAAGAUUUUUGAGUUCCUUAAGCAGAUAACUGUGAUUUGCACAGAUUUUCGUUUUGUUUUUUGAUGCUGUAUAUGUUAACUUUAGUAGAUCCAAGUGAGUAUAUAUCAUUUAAGUGACUUUAGUUGUCAUCUUCAUCAGUGUCAGAUGCAUUUUUCUCACAAGCUGUACUUUUACUCUGUGUAACAGGUGGAGGGUGAUAAAACGCUGUGAAUGUCUGUACUCUCUGUAAGUUGAUAGAAUGGAAGACGAUGAUGAAAGAAAGCUCCCUGAAGCUGAUGUUAU
rnacentral:lncRNA from 1 species